rnacentral:misc_RNA from 1 species
GAUGAAGAACGUAGCGAAAUGCGAUAAGUAGUGUGAAUUGCAGAAUUCAGUGAAUCAUCGAAUCUUUGAACGCACAUUGCGCCCCUUGGUAUUCCAUGGGGCAUGCCUGUUCGAGCGUCAUUUGUACCUUCAAGCUUUGCUUGGUGUUGGGUGUUUGUCCAUUCUCUUGCAGAGGGACUCGCCUUAAAGUAAUUGGCAGCCAGUGUUUUGGUUUUGAAGCGCAGCACAAGUCGUGAUUCAACGCUAUACGCCAGCUUCCACAAGCCUUUUUCACUUUUGACCUCGGAUCAGGUAGGGAUACCCGCUGAACUUAAGCAUAUCAAUAAGCGGAGGA